CCAAGGCUUCCCUACGGUACUGGGCUUUCUGCUUAUGGGUAUACUGAAUGCCAUCAGUAACGAUGAGAGGCGUAAUUCCAGCUUAAACGUUCUUAGACCAAUCUCCCUGUGUGCCAGCCUGUGUAGAAGACUGGUCAUUUGGAGAGAGUUCGCCCAGCCCAGCGCCAGACAGGGAGCCCCAGGAGCCCUCCUGCCACCUUGCCCUCUGCAGAGACAGCCCUCCAGCCCCUCAGGCCUGGGCCCUGCGCUCUCAACAGGGCCCACGACUCGUCCUCCUGGCCUUCAAGCCUCCAAGGAGGCACCUCCUUUCUGCAGCUGCAUCAGGUCAAGAGCCUCAUCCGAGGAGGAAGUGAAAGCCCUGCGUGGGCCCUGGGUCCCUGGAGUCACACUGACGUGGGUGUGAGCCCAGGCUCGGCCGUUUUCCAGCUGUGGCACCCGAGAGAAGCCACUUCCCUUCCGAAAGCCUCAGUGUCCUCGACUUUGGUGUGAGGGCCUUGUCCUGAGUUCAUUGGGCUCUGGUGGGGACGGCGUGAAUCCAACGUUCAGGGGGCAUGCGGCCCAGGACAGCUCCCGCAGAACCACCCAUUCUCCUGUGGCUCAGCCCCACGGCGAUCCCCGCCAUGAUUUGGCCACCCCUGGGCGGAAUCAUCAUCUCCUCCCUGUGCUGCUCCGGCCUGGAGUGGUAGUAGCUCAUGCCCUAGCUAGACUGCCUUCCCAUUUGCUGUAGGGCUUUUCAGCUCUUUCCUCUC